UACGGGAGGCAGCAGUAGGGAAUCUUCCGCAAUGGACGAAAGUUUGACGGAGCAAUGCCGCGUGAGUGAAGAAGGUUUUCGGAUCGUAAAACUCUGUUGUUAGAGAAGAACAAGGAUGAGAGUAACUGCCCAUCCCCUGACGGUAUCUAACCAGAAAGCCACGGCUAACUACGUGCCAGCAGCCGCGGUAAU
rnacentral:rRNA from 1 species